UCCGACAACUUUGUUGAUGUCUGGAGGUGGACCUGGACCUUGCCGUGUCACGACGGCUGGUCUGAAAUGCAUGAGUGCACCCUGCUGUAGCAGCGUCUUCAGUGUGAUAAGUAUCUUCACUGAUUCAAGUUCCUUCGGGACACGCUCGUCUGGUGGGCUCUGCGCUUCCAACCGUCUCUCGCAGACAAACCUUGACAAUUUGACCUCAAAUCGGGUGGGAUUACCCGCUGAACUUAAGCAUAUCAAUAAGCGGAGGAAAAGAAACUAACAAGGAUUCCCCUAGUAACGGCGAGUGAAGAGGGAAAAGCUCAAAUUUUGAAUCUGGUACCUUCGGUGCCCGAGUUGUAAUCUAGAGAAGUGUUUUCUGCCUUGGACCACGCAUAAAUUCCCUGGAAUGGGGUGUCAUAGAGGGUGAGAAUCCCGUUUGUGGUGUGGACUACCUUGGCUCUGUGAUACACUCUCAACGAGUCGAGUUGUUUGGGAAUGCAGCUCAAAAUGGGUGGUAAAUUCCAUCUAAAGCUAAAUAUUGGCGAGAGACCGAUAGCGAACAAGUACCGUGAGGGAAAGAUGAAAAGCACUUUGGAAAGAGAGUGAAACAGUACGUGAAAUUGUUGGAAGGGAAGCGCUUGAGGUUAGUCGCAUCUGUCAGGACUCAGCCAGGCUUCUGCCUGGUGUACUUCCUGGCCGGUGGGUCAGCGUCAGUUUUGACCGAGGGAGAAAGGCUUGGGGAAUGUGGCUGUCUUCGGGCAGUGUUAUAGCCCCUUGUUGUAUGUCUCGGUCGGGACUGAGGAUCGCAGCACGCCUUAUGGCCGGGGUUCGCGCCCUCGGUACG
rnacentral:rRNA from 1 species